UUGGAGGUCCAGCCUGCCCAGUGACACUAGUUUAACGGCCGCGGUAUCCUGACCGUGCGAAGGUAGCGUAAUCACUUGUCUUUUAAAUUAAGACCGGUAUGAAAGGCACCACGAGAAUUAAACUGUCUCCUUUUUCUAAUCUGUGAAACUAAUCUUCCCGUGAAGAAGCGGGAAUUUUUAUAUAAGACGAGAAGACCCUAUGGAGCUUCAGACAAAUAACACUGCUUUCUCCUCAAAAGUACUUACUACAGCAUCUCAAUUAUUUAGUCUUAGGUUGGGGCGACCACGGGGUAAAAAUUAUCCCCCACGAUGAAAGAAUCUCCUUAAGUAUGAACCACAGUUCUAUAAAUCGAUAAAUUGACAUAUUUGACCCAAUUACUUGAUCAACGAAACAAGUUACCCUAGG
rnacentral:rRNA from 1 species